rnacentral:lncRNA from 1 species
UGUUUCUGAACAAUUCUUCGCUUAGUGCAGUCUAUGACUUCUCUGAUAUAGGCAGAAGUUUUUGGCAAGCGAACUGAUAUCUUUCUAUCUGUUUGAUAUUACGUGUCUCGU